ACGCACCAGUCAACCCGGAGCCACGGUCGUCGUAGGAACCGUACUUGCCGUUUUCUUAUGAACAUAAUCUCGUUGUGUUCAUCAUCUCUAUGAACAUACAUACAUAUAUAUAUAUAUAUAUAGAUAGAGAACCAUCAUCCGUCGUGUUGUGUGAACAUAUAUAUAUAUAUAUACCCAUUUAUCCGUUUUGUGUGUGUCUCUCUCUCUGUGUGUGUUCCUACGAAAAAGGGGAACAAACCAACAACCCCACCGUCCUAAAAAACAAAUUCUCAUCACCAAAAUUUCAUCGUGGUUCUGUUUUGUCUCAUUUUUUUUUUCGUUUCUCCGGGGGGUUUCUUUUUUUAAUUAUUUUUGUCUCCUGUUGUUGUCAUUUUUACACUCGCUAUAAACGUUGUUUCAAAAAGUCUAUCCCAUUACGGUCCUCACAGUUUUAAACCUUUUUCUUUCCCUUGGUGCUAAUACAAUAUUAUUCGGUUAUUAUUAAGAAUUUAAAUAUAACGUCGUGUUUGUUAGAGAUUUUCUAUGUUUACUUAAUCUAUCGAUAGUUUUAUCUUGUUUUCUUUCUUUUUUUUUCUUUUUUUUUUUUUUUGUUAAAAUUCUCUUCAAAUUUACAAAAGGUACAAAUUAAAUAACAUGUGUUUAAAAGAAACGUAAAAUAUAAUAAUAAAUAAUAACAAAGUGCGCGAGUGUGAGAAUUUGAAUAAACAUCUACGACCUAGAGAAAUAUACCAAAAAAUAGAAGAAGAAGAAGAAGAAGAAGAAGAAGAAACACAUUAAUAACAACAACAACAACAAUAUUAGUGUUUUUCCUCGUGCAUUGUUGAUGUGAGAAAACGAAGAAGACUAGACGAGACCAACGAACACCACCGAUGGGCAAAAAAUUGCGGUACGCGAUUCGUGGCGCGAACGAUUCGACGAAUAGAAAAGUUUUCUUAUUCGGUGUCGCCUCGUGUUCGAAUAAUCGCGGAAGUGGAGAAGACGGGGUUGCAAUCCCCGUUCCCCUUUCGGUUCGCGUAUAAUAAGUGCGUGCGUAAGUAAGCAAACUAGCAAGUUAGCAAACUAACAAGCAAGGAAGCAAGCAAGUUAGCAAGCUAGCUAGCUAGGCUAGGCUAGGCUAGCAAGUGCAUGAGAACAUCAGUCGACGCCCUGGAACAAGUUGGGUCAGAAAUAUUUCUCUCACUCACUCACUCUCUUUUCAUUCUCUUUCAUUCCCUCAUUCUCUGUCUCCACGUCCGUCUAUAACACCCCCUUCAACAACCCCCCCCCAUUCGUCUCUUUCUUCUCCCUACUCUCUCUCUCUCCUCAACUGCACCCUUCUGCACCCACUGGCCCUCUUUCCUAUCCCAUUUCUCCCUCCUCUUUUACUUACCACCCUCAAGCAACCCCCAAGAAUUCCACGACUCGACUCAACUCGACUUCAACUCGUCGUCGUCAUCGUAGUCGUCUCAUCGUCUCGUGUUCAGUGUGAAAAAGGGAAUAACCGGGAAUUAAGGGAUCAAUUUAUUUUCUAUACUCCCCUUUUUUAUUUUUUUUUUCAUUCAUUGUGAUUUAUUUAAAAGUGAAAGUGAAUCAAACGAUUAUGAUAUUUUAUUGUUAAUCGUAAAGUUUUAUGUAUGAACAGGAUUAUAAAAGAAGAAGAACAAGAUGACAAAUUGUGAAUAAUGGAUCAUAUCUGAUGUGAUGUGUACCCCAAAGAUUCUAUUUGUGUUUUAUUCGCGUAUACGAUAAUAUUUUACGAUAAUAAUAAUAAUAAUUAUCAUUAUUAUUAUUAUAAUAAUAAUAAUAAUAAGAAGGAAAAUACAGGGUGUGCAACAACGACCAGUGCAUUCGACGAUAAGAGAAAAAGCAGCCUUUAUUAUUCUAACUACUGUUACUACCUACAACUAAAAGCGACUCCAACUACUGUGAUAUAAAUAUAUAUAUGUAUAUAUAUAUAUGUAUAUAUAUAGAAGCAAGAGACACUCUCCAAUGAAAAAGAGAGAGAGAAAGAGAGACGAGAAAUCGAUCCUCGAAACUCGUCCCGUUUCAAUUUCUCUUCUCUUGGCACUUCGUGGUGACUCAUUUCGGGGAAAGUAAGACGAAGCUUAACUCGGAAAGGAGAGUUUAUGGAUAUCGAGACUAAGGAUAAAUUCGAAGAAAAAAUA